rnacentral:rRNA from 1 species
ACUCAAAUGAAUUGACGGGGACCCGCACAAGCGGUGGAUGAUGUGGUUUAAUUCGACGCAACGCGAAAAACCUUACCUACCCUUGACAUGUCUGGAAUCCCGUAGAGAUAUGGGAGUGCUCGAAAGAGAGCCAGAACACAGGUGCUGCAUGGCCGUCGUCAGCUCGUGUCGUGAGAUGUUGGGUUAAGUCCCGCAACGAGCGCAACCCUUGUCAUUAGUUGCUACGAAAGGGCACUCUAAUGAGACUGCCGGUGACAAACCGGAGGAAGGUGGGGAUGACGUCAGGUCAUCAUGGCCCUUAUGGGUAGGGCUACACACGUCAUACAAUGGCCGGUACAGAGGGCUGCCAACCCGCGAGGGGGAGCUAAUCCCAGAAAACCGGUCGUAGUCCGGAUCGCAGUCUGCAACUCGACUGCGUGAAGUCGGAAUCGCUAGUAAUCGCGGAUCAGCUUGCCGCGGUGAAUACGUUCCCGGGUCUUGCACACACCGCCCGU